rnacentral:rRNA from 1 species
GUGGGGAAUAUUAGGCAAUGGGCGAAAGCCUGACCUAGCAACGCCGCGUGAAGGAAGAAGGCCUUCGGGUUGUAAACUUCUUUUAUGAGGGACGAAGGACGUGACGGUACCUCAUGAAUAAGCCACGGCUAACUACGUGCCAGCAGCCGCGGUAAUACGUAGGGGGCAAGCGUUAUCCGGAUUUACUGGGUGUAAAGGGAGCGUAGACGGAAUGGCAAGUCUGAAGUGAAAUCCUGCGGCUUAACUGCAGAAUUGCUUUGGAAACUGUCAAUCUGGAGUGUUGGAGAGGUAAGCGGAAUUCCUGGUGUAGCGGUGAAAUGCGUAGAUAUCAGGAAGAACACCGGAGGCGAAGGCGGCUUACUGGACAAUAACUGACGUUGAGGCUCAAAAGCGUGGGAAGCAAACAGGAUUAGAAACCCGAGUAGUCC